rfam:Oryza glumipatula chromosome 7, whole genome shotgun sequence.
AAUAAGUGUAGUUUUGCACUAUUCAUGUUCAACGUUUGACCGUUCGUCUUAUUUAAAAUUUUUUUAUGAUUAGUAUUUUUAUUGCUAUUAGAUGAUAAAACAUGAAUAGUACUUUAUGUGUGACUAAAUAUUUUUAAAUUUUUCACAAAUUUUUCAAAUAAAACGGACGGUCAAACGUUGGGCACGGAUAUCCAUAGCUGCACUUAUU